AAGGUCUUGGUCUUAAACCUUUUAUUGUCUAAAACACCUACUUAUACAUGCAAGCCUCUACACUACAGUGAGAUAGCCACACUAUAUAUACGUGAGCAGGUAUCAGUCCCCACAACAACACCAAGCAUAAGCCACACCCCCACGGGUCCACAGCAGUAGUUAAUAUUAGGCUAUAAGUGAAAACUUGACCUAGUAAAGUACCCCCAGAGUCGGUCAAUCCCGUGCCAGCGACCGCGGUUAUACGGCAGACUCAAGACAAUAUUAACGGCGUAAAGAAGAUUAAAAUUAAGUACCUGUUAUAGUAUAGAACCCAGCCAGGCUGUAAAAAGCUAUAAGCUUCAAUAAUAUACUAUACCACCCUACUUCUUUUACUCACAAAAGUUAGGAUAUAAACUAAGAUUAGAUACCUUACUAUACCCAACCACAACCUACAAUUAAAGUACCAAUUGUCCGCCAAACAACUACGAGUCCUAACUUAAAACUUAAAAGACUUGACGGUACUUCACCACCAACCUAGAGGAGCCUGUCUAAUAACCGAUAACCCACGAUUAACCCCACCCUAUCUUGCCCACAGUCUAUAUACCACCGUCACAAGCUUACCUUAUAAAAGAAACAAAGUGAGCUAAAUAGCCUAACACUAAAAUGACAGGUCGAGGUGUAACUUAUGAUAGGGAUAAGAUGGGCUACAUUCUCUAACAGAGGAUACGAACGAUACUAUGAAUAUAGUACCUGAAGGAGGAUUUAGCAGUAAGCCAAGAAUAAAACACUUAACUGAACAUAACGCAAUGAAGUACGUACACACCGCCCGUCACCCCUGCAGUAUAUAUCCUAUACCCUACAUGAACCACACCAUACACUUCCCCAGGGCAAGUCGUAACAUGGUAAGUGUACUGGAAAGUGCACUUAGAAA
rnacentral:ncRNA from 1 species